AUUGAAGAGUUUGAUCAUGGCUCAGAUUGAACGCUGGCGGCAGGCCUAACACAUGCAAGUCGAGCGGUAGCACAGAGAGCUUGCUCUCGGGUGACGAGCGGCGGACGGGUGAGUAAUGUCUGGGAAACUGCCUGAUGGAGGGGGAUAACUACUGGAAACGGUAGCUAAUACCGCAUAACGUCGCAAGACCAAAGUGGGGGACCUUCGGGCCUCAUGCCAUCAGAUGUGCCCAGAUGGGAUUAGCUGGUAGGUGGGGUAACGGCUCACCUAGGCGACGAUCCCUAGCUGGUCUGAGAGGAUGACCAGCCACACUGGAACUGAGACACGGUCCAGACUCCUACGGGAGGCAGCAGUGGGGAAUAUUGCACAAUGGGCGCAAGCCUGAUGCAGCCAUGCCGCGUGUGUGAAGAAGGCCUUCGGGUUGUAAAGCA
rnacentral:rRNA from 1 species